AGAGUUUGAUCCUGGCUCAGAACGAACGUUAGCGGCGCGCUUAACACAUGCAAGUCGAGCGAGAAAGGGCUUCGGCCCCGGUAAAGCGGCGCACGGGUGAGUAACACGUGGGUAAUCUGCCCUCGAGUGGUGGAUAACUCCCCGAAAGGGGAGCUAAUACAGCAUAAGACCACGACUCUCCGGAGUUGGGGUCAAAGCGGGCCUCUCCAUGGAAGCUCGCGCUUGAGGAUGAGCCUGCGGCCCAUCAGCUUGUUGGUGGUGUAAAAGACCACCAAGGCGAAGACGGGUAGCUGGUCUGAGAGGAUGAACAGCCACACUGGAACUGAGACACGGUCCAGACUCCUACGGGAGGCAGCAGUGGGGAAUCUUGCGCAAUGGGCGAAAGCCUGACGCAGCGACGCCGCGUGAGCGAUGAAGGCCUUCGGGUUGUAAAGCUCUGUGGAGAGGGACGAAUAAGGGCUGGCGAAUACCCAGCCUGAUGACGGUACCUCUUUAG
rnacentral:rRNA from 1 species